AAACUUUACAGGUACUGGAAAGUGGAUAAGCAGUUGCAGAGGGAGAGGGCAGACGGACGGGCCUUAACUCGGUGCAUUCAGGAGUUGAGGAUGAAGGGGGAAAGCUUUGAUCUGUCUACAGAGCCUCAGAUUGGGAAGAGAAUGAAGAGUUCCAGUGUGGAAAUUAAAUGGAAGCCUCUCACUUGGUUUUCUCAGUAUAGACUCACUAUUUGUCUUGUGUGUUUUACUGGCUUGAUCUUCUCUGCCUGUAGAUUCAUCCUCUGUGCCUAAAUUCUCGAGACCAGCCCGAAGAGAUCAAGAUCAGGGAAUACAGCAGUUACUUCUCUCCAUUUCUUACAAGGGAUGAAGCAUUAUGGUCCGAUAAUUCCACCAAUUCAUGAGUUCUCACAACAAGCAGACAAAAUCCUUAUGGUGUCAAAAAAGAAAAUCACAAGACCCUCCACAAUGUAUCGGAGAUUUGAUCCCUCUUUAAGACAAAGAUUCCCUGGUUCUAAUCGUAAGCCGAAAGGGAAAUACUUAUUCCCAAGAACCUCAGCUGGAGCUUAAAAUUUGGCUACUUCAAACUCUCCUCUUCUUGUUGAUC